UUGCAUUGUUGUUAUGUUCUGUUUCCCUUGAUUUUCUUCUUUUUGUUGUUGCAUAUGUGAUGAUGAUUUCACCUCAUCUGUCUCUUUUUGUUGAUUCUCCUGAGUCUGCAGCUCCAUCUCCUAAAUGUCCUUCUCCUUUUGUGACUUUGUUGGAGAGCUUUUAGUUGAUGUCUAUUGCUUACCUUGUGAAAUUGUGAUACUUGAUUUACCAUCUGAUUAACUUCUUCCUCAUCCUCUUUCUCUUAUUCUUUGUUGUUACUGCUACUUCUUUCCACCUUUAUUUUAUUGCAUUGUCUGAUUUUGUUUUAAACACUCCUCUUACUUGGACUGCUUUCUCUGCUCCUUUGUGAUGUUUCUCCUUUGUGUUUACUAUUAAUCAUUCCUUUGCUUUUUCUGUACUUAUCUCCUUGUUAUUGACUUGCUGCUAAUAAUUCUUUGCUCCAUUUUGUGUUCUUUGUUGUUCUGCAGGAUUGGCAUCAUCAUGAUUCCUAGUCUUUUCCUCUUCAGUAUUGCCUAGGAUGUCAACGUAAUAUGUGUCUCUACCUUGUCAUCCUAUUCAUACUCUCAUCUACUUUCCCCAGAAUUAUACCACUUGAAUUCUUUAUGUAUUUGUUCUUUCUUCUUUGCAUUCACUCUUGCUUGGCAUGUACAUUCCCAACUACCUUCCCAUUGGUUAAGGUUCUUCUUUGAUUAACAGUAGUACCAAUCUCAUUAUUGUUAUCAAUCUCCUUACUUUGUUUUCUCAUUUCCUCUAUAUAUUAUUUUUUCAGUCCUGGAUGUAGUGCCCUGUACUCCUUUUCUUCAUGCCCAUGUAAUUUGCAAUGUUUGCAGUACUUAAAAAGGUCUGGUUCUGCUUGCAGUGGCCAAGUCAAUUGUCAAAGGCCUACCCAUAGUUGAUGUCAUUGAGAAGACUGCCUGCCUCCCCUGUAAAGAAAUUUGGAGGCAGAUCUCGGAAGCAUAUCCAUGCUACAGCUACAGAAGUUUCUUCAUCUGGCUUAAAUCAAGGGCUCCCAAUUAAUGGUCCCAUCUGAAAAUACCUAGAUUGAACUUUGAAUAAGCCAGUGUAGAUAACAUUUUAACAUAGUCCUCCUGUAAAGAUAAUCUGACCAAUAUGUGUCUGUCUUCAAUUAAGUCAAUUGUGCAUGAACCUUUAAUGGUACACUGAUCUGGGAUGGCUUUCCGUAACUCCUUUAUAUCAAUUAUUUCAUAAGAAAACUCAUCCAAAAUUGCAUAUUAUAAGUUUUCCUGAAUGAUUAACUGUUUGACCUC